AGCGGAGGAAAAGAAACUAACAAGGAUUCCCCUAGUAGCGGCGAGCGAAGCGGGAAAAGCUCAAAUUUGUAAUCUGGCGUCUACGACGUCCGAGUUGUAAUCUCGAGAAGUGUUUUCCGUGAUAGACCGCAUACAAGUCUCUUGGAACAGAGCGUCAUAGUGGUGAGAACCCAGUACACGAUGCGGAUGCCUAUUACUUUGUGAUACACUUUCGAAGAGUCGAGUUGUUUGGGAAUGCAGCUCAAAUUGGGUGGUAAAUUCCAUCUAAAGCUAAAUAUUGGCGAGAGACCGAUAGCGAACAAGUACCGUGAGGGAAAGAUGAAAAGCACUUUGGAAAGAGAGUUAACAGUACGUGAAAUUGUUGGAAGGGAAACACAUGCAGUGAUACUUGCUAUUCGGGGCAACUCGAUUGGCAGGCCCGCAUCAGUUUUUCGGGGCGGAAAAGCAUAGAGAGAAGGUAGCAGUUUCGGCUGUGUUAUAGCUCUUUAUUGGAUUCGCCCUGGGGGACUGAGGAACGCAGCGUGCUUUUAGCAUGAGCUUCGGCUUAUCCACGCUUAGGAUGCGGGUUUAUGGCUGUAUAUGACCCGUCUUGAAACACGGACCAAGGAGUCUAACAUGCUUGCGAGUAUUUGGGUGUCAAACCCGGAUGCGCAAUGAAAGUGAAUGGAGGUGGGAAGCGCAAGCUGCACCAUCGACCGAUCUGGAUUUUUUAAGAUGGAUUUGAGUAAGAGCAAGUAUGUUGGGACCCGAAAGAUGGUGAACUAUGCCUGAAUAGGGCGAAGCCAGAGGAAACUCUGGUGGAGGCUCGUAGCGGUUCUGACGUGCAAAUCGAUCGUCAAAUUUGGGUAUAGGGGCGAAAGACUAAUCGAACCA
rnacentral:rRNA from 1 species